rnacentral:rRNA from 1 species
GUGCCAGCCGCCGCGGUAAUACAGAGGGUGCGAGCGUUAAUCGGAUUUACUGGGCGUAAAGGGCGCGUAGGCGGUUAUGAUAGUGUGAUGUGAAAGCCCUGGGCUUAACCUAGGAAGUGCAUCGCAAACUACAUGACUGGAGUGUUGGAGAGGGUAGCGGAAUUUCCGGUGUAGCGGUGAAAUGCGUAGAGAUCGGAAGGAACGUCAAUGGCGAAGGCAGCUACCUGGCCAGAUACUGACGCUGAGGCGCGAAAGCGUGGGGAGCAAACAGGAUUAGAAACCCGAGUAGUCC